AUUGAACGCUGGCGGCAGGCCUAACACAUGCAAGUCGAGCGGAUGAAGGGAGCUUGCUCCUGGAUUCAGCGGCGGACGGGUGAGUAAUGCCUAGGAAUCUACCUGGUAGUGGGGGAUAACGUCCGGAAACGGGCGCUAAUACCGCAUACGUCCUGAGGGAGAAAGUGGGGGAUCUUCGGACCUCACGCUAUCAGAUGAGCCUAGGUCGGAUUAGCUAGUUGGUGGGGUAAAGGCCUACCAAGGCGACGAUCCGUAACUGGUCUGAGAGGAUGAUCAGUCACACUGGAACUGAGACACGGUCCAGACUCCUACGGGAGGCAGCAGUGGGGAAUAUUGGACAAUGGGCGAAAGCCUGAUCCAGCCAUGCCGCGUGUGUGAAGAAGGUCUUCGGAUUGUAAAGCACUUUAAGUUGGGAGGAAGGGCAGUAAGUUAAUACCUUGCUGUUUUGACGUUACCAACAGAAUAAGCACCGGCUAACUUCGCG
rnacentral:rRNA from 1 species